GCUAUGCGGUUGCUAGGGUGUUGCUAUGCGCUUGCUUGGGUACCCGGGUCAGUUGCUAAGCUGUUGCUAUGCGUUUGCUAAGGUAUUCGGGUGGUUGCUAUGGUGUUGCUAUGCGGUUGCUAGGGUACUCAGGGUGGUUGCUAGG